AUGAGCUGCUUGAGAGUGCAGAUGGCAAGGCAGGAAAGGAAAAAGGCUUUUGUGGUGAUCGGGAUCAAUACCGCCUUCAGUAGCAAGAAAUUACAUGAUUCUGUCAGGGAGACAUUGAUGACUGAAGAUAGCAAGGAAAUUACAGAGAAAUAUGCAAGUAUGGAAUCAAGGGAUCAAAUAGGAUCAUCUAUCAUCCCAGCAAAUAGAAUCAACUAUCGUUCCAUGUUGUUUGGAUCAUCUAUCGUCUCGCACCGUCUAGCUGAAAUGGCCAAAUGA
rnacentral:rRNA from 1 species